rnacentral:rRNA from 1 species
UACGGAGGGGGCUAGCGUUGUUCGGAAUUACUGGGCGUAAAGCGCACGUAGGCGGAUCUUUAAGUCAGGGGUGAAAUCCUGGAGCUCAACUCCAGAACUGCCUUUGAUACUGAGGAUCUUGAGUCCGGGAGAGGUGAGUGGAACUCCGAGUGUAGAGGUGAAAUUCGUAGAUAUUCGGAAGAACACCAGUGGCGAAGGCGGCUCACUGGCCCGGUACUGACGCUGAGGUGCGAAAGCGUGGGGAGCAAACAGG